rnacentral:rRNA from 1 species
AGUGAACGCUGGCGGUAGGCCUAACACAUGCAAGUCGAACGGCAGCACAGUAAGAGCUUGCUCUUACGGGUGGCGAGUGGCGGACGGGUGAGGAAUACACCGGAAUCUACUUUUUCGUGGGGGAUAACGUAGGGAAACUUACGCUAAUACCGCAUACGACCUACGGGUGAAAGCAGGGGAUCUUGGGACCUUGCGCGAUUGAAUGAGCCGAUGUCGGAUUAGCUAGUUGGCGGGGUAAAGGCCCACCAAGGCGACGAUCCGUAGCUGGUCUGAGAGGAUGAUCAGCCACACUGGAACUGAGACACGGUCCAGACUCCUACGGGAGGCAGCAGUGGGGAAUAUUGGACAAUGGGCGCAAGCCUGAUCCAGCCAUACCGCGUGGGUGAAGAAGGCCUUCGGGUUGUAAAGCCCUUUUGUUGGGAAAGAAAAGCAUCAGGUUAAUACCCCGCUGUUCUGACGGUACCCAAAGAAUAAGCACCGGCUAACUUCGUG